rnacentral:rRNA from 1 species
UACGAAGGGGGCUAGCGUUGCUCGGAAUCACUGGGCGUAAAGCGCACGUAGGCGGACUCUUAAGUCGGUGGUGAAAUCCUGGAGCUCAACUCCAGAACUGCCUUCGAUACCGAGAGUCUCGAGUCCGGGAGAGGUGAGUGGAACUGCGAGUGUAGAGGUGAAAUUCGUAGAUAUUCGCAAGAACACCAGUGGCGAAGGCGGCUCACUGGCCCGGUACUGACGCUGAGGUGCGAAAGCGUGGGGAGCAAACAGG